rnacentral:rRNA from 1 species
GACGAACGCUGGCGGCGUGCUUAACACAUGCAAGUCGAACGGAAAGGCCCUGCUUUUGUGGGGUGCUCGAGUGGCGAACGGGUGAGUAACACGUGAGUAACCUGCCCUUGACUUUGGGAUAACUUCAGGAAACUGGGGCUAAUACCGGAUAGGAGCUCCUGCUGCAUGGUGGGGGUUGGAAAGUUUCGGCGGUUGGGGAUGGACUCGCGGCUUAUCAGCUUGUUGGUGGGGUAGUGGCUUACCAAGGCUUUGACGGGUGGCCGGCCUGAGAGGGUGACCGGCCACAUUGGGACUGAGAUACGGCCCAGACUCCUACGGGAGGCAGCAGUGGGGAAUAUUGCACAAUGGGCGGAAACCUGAUGCAGCAACGCCGCGUGCGGGAUGACGGCCUUCGGGUUGUAAACCGCUUUCGCCUGUGACGAAGCGUGAGUGACGGUAAUGGGUAAAGAAGCACCGGCUAACUACGUG